UAAAGCCUAAAAUGUAUACUGUCUGAUGCCUUCUACAUAAAAAGUUUGUUGACCCGUGUAACAGAUGAUAAAGUGAGGCAAGAGAUAGCAUAUUGCAAAUACAUGGAAGAAACCAGAUUUUGAGUCUACAAGAUCUGGCUCUGGAAUCUGUGUUCUUACCUUUUACAUAGCUUCGCAGCAAAGCUAAACAUUCUAAAUUGCAAUAGAACAAUUUGAAAUUACUUCCUUCUUAAAUAAUUGUAUUAAAAAUGAAAAAUUAGGUGCAAAUGGCUGAAAAGCAAUGCUCUUUGAAAUUCCUUUAAUUUCCCAUUAAGAAUGAAAAGUAUGAAGUCUUGGCCUUCUGGUUUUUAUUCUUCCUUUUCUUUAAAUGGGUGGCAAGAGAUAAGGCAGAUUAUGAAGCAUCAAAUAUGUUAACUUUUAAAAGUAUAAUCACACAUACAAAUUGUCCCCAAGCAUCUGGUUUGGACUUUCAGAUUCCCUGAUGAUUUUUACCAAUAUUUUGAGGUAAAUGAUAGCUACUGUUGAUAGUCUUGAAAUGUAUAUGUUAGAAUAUAGUGAUGGAAACAAAAAUAUUUCACGCCAAAAUAUACUUAUUUGGUGUAUUUUGAGAAAGCUAUGCAGAGGGCCUGCAAACACAAGUAGCCCUACAAAGCUGUCUUUUGUGGGAACGAUUUUCUACUGUAGAGAAAAUCUGCACUGAUGCAGCCAGGCUUUCUCUGAGGCCCUCCCAUGUCUGGAUCAAGGAAAGAUUAACUGAGAGUCUGACACCUUUAACUGAGAUUCUGCUGUCUGUGAGGUUUCAUCUAUAUAACCAGAUGACCUUUGCUAGCCAAGCCUCCUCUUCCCCGCUCCCAUAACCUGUCUUGCCACCAUAAACUCUUCUGGGUGAAGCUUCUAGCUAUUCUUUCUGUAGCGUCAGGAUAGUAUAAAAACUCCAUAUGGCCAUUUCUUUGAGUUUUUAUAUUUUGUGUGACUCCUGUGAACAUGACUGCACAAAAUAAAUUUGUAUGCCUUUUUUCCUGUUAAUCUGUGAACAGAUCGGGAAAAAUUUAAACUUCCCUGCAGUAGAAACAUUUUUAUAAUUCAAUUUGUAGAUAUUUGUAUUUUUGAGUUAUGUAACAAGUACAGCUAAGAAUGUUUACUUCAUUACAAACAUUUCAUGAUCAUGCGUCAGUGUUCUAAACCUUUGCCAUUUAGCUAAACGAAUAACAUGUCCACAAAGGACUAGGCUCAGAAUUUGGUCUGUCUCUUAUAAUCUCUUUGAAAAGUUUAUAAAUUCUUCCAAAUGAUUUAUGAAGUAUCAAUGUUACAUUACUAAAAUUGAUUUAUGUGUCCUCCAAUUAAAUGUAAUCAUUACUAUUGGAGUUAAAGCCAGUUUCACAUUCACACUCUUCUUAGGCUCUGUGGGUGUGUGUGUGUGUGUGUGUGUAUGUGUAUCAGGAUGCAUGCACCUUCCUAAAGUCAUAGCAAGCUCACACUUUGGUGAUCACUAACUCUUCCCUGGGACUUUCUUAGGCAGAUUUAUAGUUAUGUCUUGCAAGUAUACUAUUCUUACCAAGUUUUAGGGGUUUUAAAAAAAUAUGUUGUUUUUUGUAAUUCUUAAAUAUGAUACAUCAGCUCUUACCUCUUGCCAUUUCUGGGAACUUUAUUAUACAUUUGAUAGUGUUUUUAGUGCAUUUUUAGAUGCUGGGUUAUUAUUAUCUUAAAUACUCUCUCUAAUCAGUGAGUUUAUAGUUUCAUAAAAUAUCACUUAUUGCUUUUCACAUUGUAAAACCCCCAUACUGUGAAUAAUUUCAUUUUAUUUAUGCAUAGCAGCA
rnacentral:lncRNA from 10 species